GAAGAAGGCCUUAUGGUUGUAAAGCACUUUAAGCGAGGAGGAGGGCUACUGAAGUUAAUACCUUCAGAUAGUGGACGUUACUGGCAGAAUAAGCACCGGCUAACUUUGUGCCAGCAGCCGCGGUAAUACAGAGGGUGCAAGCGUUAAUCGGAUUUACUGGGCGUAAAGCGCGCGUAGGCGGCUAAUUAAGUCAAAUGUGAAAUCCCCGAGCUUAACUUGGGAAUUGCAUUCGAUACUGGUUAGCUAGAGUGUGGGAGAGGAUGGUAGAAUUCCAGGUGUAGCGGUGAAAUGCGUAGAGAUCUGGAGGAAUACCGAUGGCGAAGGCAGCCAUCUGGCCUAACACUGACGCUGAGGUGCGAAAGCAUGGGGAGCAAACAGGAUUAGAUACCCUGGUAGUCCAUGCCGUAAACGAUGUCUACUAGCCGUUGGGGCCUUUGAGGCUUUAGUGGCGCAGCUAACGCGAUAAGUAGACCGCCUGGGGAGUACGGUCGCAAGACUAAAACUCAAAUGAAUUGACGGGGGCCCGCACAAGCGGUGGAGCAUGUGGUUUAAUUCGAUGCAACGCGAAGAACCUUACCUGGCCUUGACAUAGUAAGAACUUUCCAGAGAUGGAUUGGUGCCUUCGGGAACUUACAUACAGGUGCUGCAUGGCUGUCGUCAGCUCGUGUCGUGAGAUGUUGGGUUAAGUCCCGCAACGAGCGCAACCCUUUUCCUUAUUUGCCAGCGAGUAAUGUCGGGAACUUUAAGGAUACUGCCAGUGACAAACUGGAGGAAGGCGGGGACGACGUCAAGUCAUCAUGGCCCUUACGGCCAGGGCUACACACGUGCUACAAUGGUCGGUACAAAGGGUUGCUACCUAGCGAUAGGAUGCUAAUCUCAAAAAGCCGAUCGUAGUCCGGAUUGGAGUCUGCAACUCGACUCCAUGAAGUCGGAAUCGCUAGUAAUCGCGGAUCAGAAUGCCGCGGUGAAUACGUUCCCGGGCCUUGUACACACCGCCCGUCACACCAUGGGAGUUUGUUGCACCAGAAGUAGGUAGUCUAACCGCAAGGAGG
rnacentral:rRNA from 1 species